rnacentral:rRNA from 1 species
UCGAGGGGUAGAGUGCUUCGGCACUUGAGACCGGCGUACGGGUGCGUAACGCGUGUACAAUCUACCUUUUGCUAAGGGAUAGCCCGAAGAAAUUUGGAUUAAUACCUUAUAGUAUUAUUUGGUGGCAUCAUUAAAUAAUUAAAGCUACGGUGGCAAAAGAUGAGUACGCGUCCCAUUAGCUAGUUGGAGUGGUAACGGCACACCAAGGCUACGAUGGGUAGGGGUUCUGAGAGGGAUGUCCCCCACACUGGUACUGAGACACGGACCAGACUCCUACGGGAGGCAGCAGUGAGGAAUAUUGGACAAUGGUCGGAAGACUGAUCCAGCCAUGCCGCGUGCAGGAUGACGGCCUUAUGGGUUGUAAACUGCUUUUGUAUGGGAAGAAUAAGGUCUACGUGUAGAUUGAUGACGGUACCAUACGAAUAAGCAUCGGCUAACUCCGUGCCAGCAG